CGUGAACUGAGACCCGGGGCCCCGGCCUCCCCGGCCGGAACGAAACCCACCCUUCUGCUCCCCAGUUCCACCCCUGGACGAAGAACCCCCCGAAUUCCCCACCAGAACCUCAAGGAAGGGCCAAGCGAGAGGAAACCAAAAGGAAGAAGAAAGAGAGGAGAGCCCACACCCGGCAGCCCACCAAGACUGGCUGAUGGCCCAUUUUCCAAAGGAAGGUUCUGCCUUUGGGAGAUCACAAGACCCUGAGACUUUUCACUCUCUGACCGAGGGGGGCGGGGGGGGAGGGAAUAUGUUCUUCGCUCCAGAUUUUCCUGGAGGGUUGACUGGUUUGUCGCAGACCUUUCCAGUUCGCUUGCUGUUAACUUGUAAAUGAUUACACUUGGAAUGAACAGGUCUGUGCCUUAAAGGAACUGUAUGGCAAAUGGUGCAAUAAAAUAAAUCACCCCAAAGCACCCCGUGAUGUGAACAAGGAA